AAGAGAGUGAGUUGAAAUGUCUACUUCUGUUCGAGAAGCAGAAUUUCUCCAUUUUCACUCUUCCUUCCUUUCUGUUUUUUUUUUUUUUUUGUCUCUCAUAUGUCUUUAUGGUGACUUUCCCAGUGGAAAUCCUCAACUGCUUUCAAUUAUGGUCUUGGUUUCUCUCAUUCCAACAAAAGAUUACUCACGAGAGAGAGUGAAACAAAAAGGCACAGUUGAGAGAGAGAGAGAGAGAAAGAGAGAGAGAGAAAGAGAGAGAGAGAAAGAGAUAGAGAAACCAGGAAACUCUGACACUUCUUAGAGCAGGGUGUGUUUUCAGAGCUGUGUGACUUGCUAGCACAGACCUGACAGUUUACAUGGCUGGCUUGCUUAUCUAGAGGUGUUCAUCCAGUGGUGAUUCUGGUUAGUGAACGCCGAAACCAGCACAAGAAAAAACAGACAGCUCAGACAGACAGACGGACAGACGGAUCUCUACUCAGCUGCUUGACACACAUUCAGCUCUCCUCUCAACACUUUACGGGUGGAUCACAGAAACACUUCUGACUAAACAUUAACCAGACUUUAGUCAUAAUGAUAUCUCCUAUUAUAGUGCAGUGUUGAAGUAGAAUGG